rnacentral:rRNA from 1 species
GUUCACGCCGUAAACGAUGAGUGCUAAGUGUUAGGGGGUUUCCGCCCCUUAGUGCUGGAGCAAACGCAUUAAGCACUCCGCCUGGGGGAGUACGGCCGCAAGGCUGAAACUCAAAGGAAUUGACGGGGACCCGCACAAGCGGUGGAGCAUGUGGUUUAAUUCGAAGCUACGCGAAGAACCUUACCAGGUCUUGACAUCCCGCUGCCCGGUCUAGAGAUAGAUCUUUCCCUUCGGGGACAGCGGUGACAGGUGGUGCAUGGUUGUCGU